rnacentral:lncRNA from 1 species
UACAGAAUCCCCUCUUCCUUGGGAGACCUCAGUCUUUUUCUCUUAAGGCCUUCAACUGAUUGGAUGAGGCCCACCGACAUCAUGGAGAAUAAUCUGCUUUACUCAAAUUAUUCUGAAUUAAAUGUUAAUCUCAUGUAAAACAUACCUUCCCAGCUGCAUCUAAACUGAUGUCUAACCAUCUAUCUGGGUACCAUGACAUCACCAAGUUGACGCAUAACAUUAAUCCUCACAGGCUGUAAGCCCAGUAUAUAGAAAAAGCCUCCAAAGGGCUAGAUGAAAUUUUGAGAAUGUGUUUAUCUGUAGAGUAGGUGUCUGAGGAAUAUUCCUGUGCCACUGUUAUUGAAUAAAUCAGCUAUUUAAUGGGGGGAAAUUCAGGUGACUUGACAGAGACUCCCUUCUUGUGAGUUUUUAUAGUUUCAGAGAAGCAGAGACCAUCAUAAUUUUUCUUUUCUGGAUAACGAAGCUUGCUUUGAAAUACAUGAAUAUCAGAAAAGUGCCCUCAGGCAAAGAUGAUGCAGCUUUUUAAGAAAAGGAUCCAAUUUGGGAAGGAGGAACAGUGCUUCCAUGGCCACACAGGUAAGGAGAUUCUGACCUUCUGAUGAUAAGAGAAUAGUAUUUCUGUAACUGCAGGGGACCCAGCACACAAUCUGAGAAGUAAAGAGAUUUGCAAUUUACAUUUUCACUGUGAUAUGGAAAAAAAAAGAGAUGUGGGAAUACAGCUUUUCGUAGAGUUAGUCUGCACACCUACAACCCGUGCUAAGAAUUAGAUGUAGGUAGCCUUAAAAAUGAGGGCUUUGGGUAUUGUGUAGGGCUCGGUACUUUGGGAGAGUAGCAGAUAGAACAAAAUAGAAGGGUGCAUUCAAGCACUAAAUAGAGAUGUUAAGAAAAGCUUGCAGCAGGUGAAGUUAUUAUUCACCCGAUGUGGUGCUCUCAGAUCACUGGAUACACCUUAAAAUGCAAAUUGCUCUUUUCUAGAUAUUGGCGAUUUUUUCUCUCAUACACGGGCCUGAAGAUCAUUUUCUACCCAUGGCCUUGUUUUUCAACUUCCAAAAAUCUGUAGAAAGAUGAAGGUACCCUAAUCUGUUCCCAUGGGGUUUCUCCUUCUCUUGGAGUUUUCAUCAUCUUAUCCUGUUCAGCUCUCAAGAAUCUGCUAAUGAAAACUUCUAGCACGAAGGAAAUUAAACCACUCUAAGACACAGAUUUAUGGAGACGUAUUUGUUAGCUAUUUAAUCACAUCUCAAAGAUCAGCAGUCUGCAUAAUGACAUUGAAUUGUGCUCGUUUCCAGAGCCCACAUUCUAGGUUCCUUUUUCCUAUUCCACCUUCUUUCUUUCUUUCUUUUUUUUUUUUUUUUUUUUUUUUUUUUUUUGACACUGAAGAGUAGCAGACUAUGCCACUUUGGUUAAGGAUUAUUUUGAGCUGAAGGCAACUGAGAAGCAGAGACAAGAAACAUAUGUAAAGGUGUCUCCUCUCCCUUCUCUACCAGGAAGGACAGAUGUGAAUCACUGGAGACAACUCUAGACCCCAGUCAGCUCAGAGACGGCACCAGGGGGACCUCAUAAACAUUACUAGCUAGCCCUUAGCUUCCUCCCUUUCCCUGCCCUAGAAACCCAAAGUCCUUUGCCUUUGUCUUGUCGCUUUACUAAAAAGCUACGGUUCUUUCAUUCUGAUGCUGUAUCAACCCAAGGUCUAGCUACCCCUUUGAGUCCCUGAUUACCGAGUAUGGGCAGGUGUAGGGGAGACACGUGUUGACAACCUUCUGUUGUUCCCUUGUCUUUUGCAGAGCCCCAGCCAGACAACCUAGGACCACAGAGGAAAAAUUGGUAAGUUUCAGGGGAGGAGAAAUCCCUUCCUUGUGUAUUACAAUCUUCUUCUUCCCCUACUCACUUAGAAUGCAAAUUAUUUCCUUCUUGGAGUUCAUAAAAAUGCCCAGUUGACCUUAUUUCCUAGAUUCUACAAACCUUAUCAGUGGCAUGAUACUUCAUAAAUUUAAUAACAGUGUGGGAUCAAGCCUGAUUUUAGGGUCUUAACACUGAAAGGAAGGAUGAUAAAACUGAAGUAAAGCAAGUUAAUGAUCUGCAGAGAAAAUGGACUUCAAAGGAACCAGUAGUGUGUGAUUUCUUGAACUGAGUAGGAUGUGUAUAGGUUUCUCUUGUAUUCUUACUCUUAAACUUUGCAAAUAUGUUAGCUAUAUUUAUAUAUACAUCAAGUAUACAUAGGAUUGUAAAUUUAGGUAUAUAUGCAUACAUACCUACAAAUGUAUUUCAUAUGUAUACUUGGUAAAGACAUCCAUUUGUAUUGGCUGAUUUCUGGUUUGGAUGGAGCAUAGGCCAGUCCUCUCCCUUGAGAUUACUUUUCUUUAGUCAUUUUUCAUCAUUGUUUAUGUAACUCAUGGAUUGGAUUGCUUUUGAAAUAGACUUUCUCCGACUUAAUUUCAUAAUAUUACUUCUCCAAGAUCACAUUUACUAGAAACCCUUCUUUAUAAUUGUGUAAAAGGAAAAAUCUCCCUGGAUAGGAGCACUUGCCUAGGAAAUAUCAAGAUGAAAACUGUUUGUUGAAAAUUAUUCUAACCCUCCAGCCUUGUUAAA